rnacentral:rRNA from 1 species
GGGUGAGUAACACGUGGGUAACCUACCUCAAAGAGGGGGAUAGCCUCCCGAAAGGGAGAUUAAUACCGCAUAAUAAUCAGUUUUCACAUGGAGACUGAUUUAAAGGAGUAAUCCGCUUUGAGAUGGACCCGCGGCGCAUUAGCUAGUUGGUAGGGUAACGGCCUACCAAGGCGACGAUGCGUAGCCGACCUGAGAGGGUGAUCGGCCACAUUGGAACUGAGAGACGGUCCAGACUCCUACGGGAGGCAGCAGUGGGGAAUAUUGCACAAUGGGCGAAAGCCUGAUGCAAGCACGCCGCGUGAGUGAAGAAGGUUUUCGGA